rnacentral:rRNA from 1 species
AUUGAACGCUGGCGGCCGGCCUAACACAUGAAAGUCGAGGGAGCGGCGGACGGGUGAGUAAUGUCUGGGACACUGCCUGUUGGCGGGGGAUAACUACUGGAAACGGUAGCUAAUACCGCAUAACAUCAGAUGUGCCCAGAUGGUAUUAGCUAGUAGGUGGGGUAAUGGCUCACCUAACCGACGAUCCCUAGCUGGUCUGAGAGGAUUACGAACCACACUGGAACUGAGACACGGUCCAAACUCCUACGGGAGGCAGCAGUGGGGAAGAUUGUACAAUGUGCGCAAGCAUGAUGCAGCCAGUCCGCGUGUGUGAUGAAGGCCUUCGGGUUGUAAAGCACAUACAGCGGGAGGGCGUUACCCGCAGAAGAAGCAUCGGCUAACUCCGUGCCAGCAGCCGCGGUAAUAC